UACAGUAAUGAUAAUAUGGGUGAGCCCCGUUAACUCGCACAUGCGUAAGUCGUGAUUCAGCUUUACUCGCGGUCAAGUUGUGGACCCUGAAAAUUUAGACUAACUAUAAAAGUGUAUUUUGAUUUGACUGUUUUUGGGAGGGAUCAUCAGUGCAUACGAUUCUGGACAAUGAUUUCUUUUUCCUCCUUCGGCUGGUGCAGGUC